CAUUUUAGGUAUACCGUAUAUAGCAACCGCCUCGUUAUACCUGUUGAUCAACGUUACAUAAAUAUACUUUUUUUAUUUUACGCAGUUUUGCUAUAUAAUAAGACGGAUAUAUUUUAAAAGUUGUUAGACAAGUGCAGAAAAAAAUGGAUUCGGUCAAAAUAAUACUUGCAUUCGUUCUCCUUUCUAAUUCAAUGAUUGUCAAAGGAGACCCAGCAACGUGCCGUGAUAAAAUGUUAUUAUCCACCUGGUUGUGUCGAGAUACCAGCUAAGGGACAAUGUUGUCCGAAAUGUAAACGUAAUGUACUUGUUGAGUUGAGUCACAGAAAAUGAAAACAGAACUUGUCGAGUAGGGAAAGUUCAUAUGCCGAUGGAUACAGUUCAUAUGCCAAUGAGUACAGUUCAUAUGCCGAUGGAUACAGUUCAUAUGCCGAUGAAGUCAUUUAAACAAAAACAUGUGAUCAUAGAAGUUUGUAAGGUUUAUAAAGAGGAAUAAAUUGAUUAUGCGUUAACUAUAGGAUUAAUUAAUUAUAUGUAUGCAUUUCAGUACCAGCUGGAGCAUACAAUUUACCAUAGAUGUUGACCACAGACGAACGAGUUUUACUUACCACAGCUAAUUCCUACUAAAUCGGAUUUUUAAAUUGAAACAAAAAUGUUUUUGAACUUGGACCUUUUGCACAAAAAUGGCAACAUAUACUUUUCAACCAAUAUUUUAUCAUAUUAUAAUAUUUAAUUGCAUUCUUAUGUACAGUAACUGAUAGUGACACCACUGCGUACUUUCCAGAAAUUUCAACUCAUUGUUACCAAUGCUAUAAAGAUGAUUAAAUAAAUUUCGACAAGGUUAUAAUGAAUUACUUACAAUAUUAUCUUGAAAAUAUAUAUCAUAUUGUUUAUAUUUUUCGCCUUUGAAACAUCCAAAUGAAAUAGUAAUGGGUAUAGGUACAUGUUCAGGUGUGAUAUCGUAAAAAUAAGUACUUGAAAUGAAGUGGAAUCAACAACUACAAAUAUUCAAGUGUGAUUAUGCUCCAUGUUUUAUUGUAAAGGACAAAUAUAAAUCUUCCUAAAAAUAUGAAAAGGCUGCCCCAUUUUAUUUACUUUUUUUAUUUUUAUUUUAUUUAUCGUAUGGAUAUUUUUAGAAAUUCGUCGAACCACUAUUGUUAUCUAUCGUUUUUGCAAUGUAUAUAAUAAUGUAGUUUAAAGGAUUUAUGGA